UGGACACUAGUGAAUUAUUGC
ensembl:piRNA 21ur-4073 ncRNA